GCACAGCUGGAACAUCAAUGGGGAAUUCCGUUAGCAAUAUUGUUGAAUAAUGUACAAUCUUGCCAAUCACUUGGAGAACAACAUUGAGGUAUUUGUUUCCAGAGAGGGUUUAUCACUGGCUGGUGGCACAGUAGCUGCUUGUUCUGUUGCCAAAUGCAGGAGCAAAGCCUGGGAGCAGAACUGGCAUGGGAAUGAUGAAGGAAUGAAUUACAAUGGAGCCAUAAAUGGCAGCUCUUAUCUGGUGAGCUCAUUGCGGGUUACAAGCAUAGCAUAAAUGAACCAAUUUGCAGACACUAAAGUGCAGCUACCUCUGGGCUGGAUUUUGCAGCCCUCUUGAUCUGUCAUAUCGUGUGACAGCUUUUCUGGCUUUAGUGCCUUGUUCUUCUGGCUGGCAGUUCUUCUAGAAAGUAAAAUAGAAAUCUGCCCAGCAGGAAGAAGGCGCAAAAGAUUGCUUUUUCUUUUUAAACACAAUGAAUAUGAAGCAAAUAAGCAAUACAGCUGAUAAGAUUUAGAAAGGCUCUUACCCAAAUUACCGUGAUAGCUGGCAGCAUUUGGAUUGGCUUUAAUUGCCUUGAGGAACAAAGCUUCAGAUUCCUGAAUAAUUUAAAAUAACAAGUCAUCAGGGAAGUCCAUUCUCAUAUAUAUAAAAAAAUGCCAAAUUUACCCACCACUGUAAUUACAAACCUUCCAAAAUUAUGCCAUAUCUAUAUGAUACCGCCAUAUAAAUAUCCUAAGCCUGCCUGAUCUGUAGCUCAGGUGGCUACAGCCCCCUGAAACCAAAAAUAAUGCUGCAAAUAAGUGUCAUGCUUUCACAGACUGCUGUUAUUUUAUCAGAAAUUUAUUAAGCACUAGAGAACUUUUCUCUUUACCUAAAGUACCUUUUUUAAAAAUAGUUAUAGUAUUUUCAAACAUUACCUGCUGAAGUUUUCCCUACUUAUGCAAUCAAAUUAAGAAAAAUGUAAUUUGGUAUCUAAGCAAACUGCUUAUAGACACUUUUCCUUUUACAACAGUUUUAGCAUUAAAAAUAAGGGCAUUCCAGUAAAUCUCUUUCAAACAGAUGUUUCAGUGUGGUUCCCCAUGAAGAGUAGCUGAGUACCUUUUACUUAAAAAAACAUGCCAAAUCUUAUCAUGCCAUGCAACAUCCUUCACAUUUUCCUCAGCAGUUAUCUUGUUGCAUUAGUGUUUGCAAUGUGUGCUCUUAAGACUCGUGAUAUCUGAGUACCUCUUAGAAAACCUGAGGUCCCUCACCUAAUAUUCAGAGAAUAAUUUACUGCUAAAUUUUUUAUCUAAUUAAAACAAUCCUGUUUUUCCAAACUAGCUGCUAAUAUUGAUACUUUUUCCCCAAGCAUAUUUCCUGCAGAAGUUUAAACAGUCACAUCCUGGCCAAUCCAAAUGGAGCAUAUUUACUUGCUGACAUGCAAGUUUAGAUACCUGAGAGCAAAUUUUACAUAGAUUUCUAUGCUGUGCUGUGCUUUAGGGAAAGUUGUUCAUUCAGUUUCAAUGCAAAUGACCUAAAAAUAAAAUUACCUCAAUGUGGUAGGCUUCCAUCUGAAUGCACAUACUUGCUGUCUGAGGUAUGUGAGAACACUAACAUGGAGAAAAGUCCUUUCCUUUGUGCUAAGCUUUCACUGCUUAAAAUAAAUCACAGGCUCUACUGAAAAAGAAAGCCUGUCAGCCAGAUUUUUGGUUCCACCAUCUUCUCAUGUCAAGCAUGAAAUAACUCUCUGUAAGGGUCCCUUCAGGGGAAAAGAAAUUUCUGAUGUCAAGAUUGAGUCACUCAGCUCUGAGUGACUUAAGAUCCUCCCCAUAUGUCCAAACCCAAACUAAAAGCAUUGCUGAGCACAGCUGAGGCUGCCAUUCUCAAGCCAGGAGAGACUCAUGCAGAAAGUGCUUUCAUCUCCACAGGUCAAGGAAAUUACAAACCCCAGGGUUCUCUGAGCUGGGCCAGUGGAGGGCUAUGAAGAUGAUGAGGGGACUGGAGCGUCUUUUAUGAGGAAAGGCAGAAGGAGCUGGGCCUGCUCAGUCUCAAGAAGAGAUGACUCAGAGGGGACCUCAUCAGAGUCUAAGUAUUGAAGGGAGGGUGCCAAAGGAUGGAUCCAGGCUCUUCUCAUUCAUGCCAUGCAACAGCACAGGAGGCAACAAGCAGCAACUGAUGCACGGGAAGUUCCACCUGAACAUGAGGAAGAACUUCUUUACUGUUCAGGUGACAGACCACUGGAACAGACUGACCAGAGAAGUUGUGCUGUGUCCUUCCCUGGAGAUAUUCAAAACUUGCUUGGAUGCAAUUCUGUGCAACCUGCUCUAGGUGAACCUGCUCUAGUAGGGGGUUGGAUGAGACCAUCUCCAGAGGCCCCUUCCAACCCCAGCUAUUCUGUGAUUCUGAUUUUGUUUCAGGACAAGGAAUAUUUGGAUAGGAGUUAACAAGGGGAACCUGAUACCUGCAAAUGUACUUCAAUAGUGCAAGUUUUAGCGUUGCUUUCCUAUUGCAUGAGCAGUUGCUGCAGCAGUCUCAUAUCCAGACUGUCAAAGUCCCUGGAUGCAUUGGUCUUUUUGAAACCCACACUGUUUAGUGAUUUCAUUUGUAUUUUGGAUGAUGGGACUGAAUGCAGUUUCAAAACUUUACAGGUAGCACCUAAGAGGAGGGAGUGAGAAAUACAUUGGAAGGAAGAAUAGCUAUUUUGAGGGACCUGGGCAGGACAGAGAAACAGACUAGCAGGAAUCACAGAAUGGUUUAGGCUGGAAUGUACCUUUGGUGGCCAUGUGAUUUUUAAUAAGCACUUCUGAGACCAUACCUGGAGUAUGUGUUCAGGCUGGGGGUCUCCAUUACAAGAAAGACACAAACAUACUCCAGUGAGUCUUGCAGAAAGCCACCAAAAUGGUACAGGGCUGGAGUACAAGAUGUGCAAAGACCAACUGAGAGAACUGGAUCUUUUCAGCCUUUGGGAGAGAAGAUGAAGGUGCUGCCUACAACUACCCGAUGAGAUAAUACAGAGAAGAUGGAAACACUCUUCUCACACGUCUGUGAGAUGGGAUAAGACAUAAUGGACGCAAACUGGCAUACAAGAAAUUCCAGUUAAAGGAAACAUCAAUUUUUUUUAGUCAUAAAAUUGGUCAAGCAUUGAAAGAUGCUGACGAGAGAGGUUAUAGAAUCUCUAUUGACAGAGAUAUUCAGGAUUCAACUGGAACUGGCACUGGUUUGGGUUAGGGGUUGGACUAGAUGACCUCUAGAUGUCAUUUCCAGGCAAAAUUAUUCCAUGAUUUCCAUGUUUCUCAGUCACCUGAGAAACAUACUGAGACUCAAAAUUUGGCAAGUAGUGCAAGAUAACCUCCUCUUUUCAUACAACUCUCAAAUCCUAAAAAUCAACAGUGGAUUGGCACUUGAAUGCAUGCAAUAAUUUCAAGUCCCACAAAGUUGUGUUUUUUCUCACUCCAAAUUUUAGUAUUUUGGUCUAGUAAAUCUCUUUUUUCCUCACUGGGCAGGUUAACAGCAAUCAAAAUAAAAGAUUUACUGACGAUUUAAAUCAGCCUUAUGCCUAAAAGUUGCCACCUACACAGAGAAGGAGCACCUAAUGUACAGACUUGCAUCCUUUCAUUGCUGAAGGACAGUGGGACAACACGUGCAAUGCUCUUCCAGAUAACAACUUCAGAAGAACAAGAAAGCAGAGAUUAAAACGUUCUGGAAUUUACUCUAUAAUACAAACAUGCUUGCACAAUGAUGGCAUUUUAAGUAAGUAUCAGAAAUUCAAUUUGUGGGCUGGAUUUCAAGUGAUGCAUUAAAAUGACCAAAUCAGAAGGUAUUCUUCUAUUAUUAGAGGGUGUCUGGGUAGCCAAAGAAGAGGUAAAGAUCCUUUUAGAUAAAAAUGGAUAAAGGUUUAAGUUUUUCUAGACACUGAAUUAUUCAUUAAAACAUUCAAAUAGACCUUUACCUGUGUUAUCAAGCAAUAUUAUCAUAUUGUUCCAGGCCAAACUGUGCUCUGGUUUCAGGACUGUAGCAUUCCUCCAUGCAUUCAAUGCAUCUAUAUGGCGAUUCAAAUCUGCAUACUAAAACAAAAGAAAAAUCCAGUAAUUUUGCUAUUACUUGCUUUACUUUCCUAUCAUUCACUAAAGACACUAAAAAGUUGUUAAUGUCAUGUCCUUUCUAGUAGGAUUUAUUUUUACAGACAAAAAUAAACAUAAAAGGAACACUCUUGUAGUACGGAAGAUAAGAAUGCUAUAUACUAAUUUUCCUUUUCUUUCCUCUGGAAGUGAGGCUUGUCUUCAAAUAUGCAUGUACCAAUAGAAUAAGGAGAAGAAACAGCAUACAAUUUAGAAAUCUACACAAGAGAUUUGGUAAAUAUUUAAUGUACAUAUUUUCAAAAAUCUAAUUUGAAUUUUUCAGCAUAGCUGUACUACCUAACAAUAUACUAAGGAAUGCAAAACAUCGGGAAAUUAUCAAUAAUGCCUUUUGGAAAAAAAAAAUAAAAUCUGUAUUUUUGUUUAUACUUCUUUAUAUGAUAAAGUAGGAUUACCAAAGGUUGUAUGGAAGGAAGUAUAUUGGGAAAGCAAUAGGAAAAGCUACCAAAAGCAUGAAAUCACCCUAAAGUACAAUAUAAGCAAAGUGGGAUAACUAUCAGCUUUUAACAUUACAGCAGAAUUACAUAAAUCUAUCUAUAUAUAUACAUACAGAAAGACACACAGAUUCUAGUCAUUGCUAUCAUUUAUUCAAAAGCACUUACCAACCGCCCUAAAUUGUAGUAACAAUCUGGAUAUUUUUUUCUGUGUUUAAUUGCUGUCCAGUAGCUUUGCUCUGCCUCUUCAAACCUUCUUAAACUGUUCUGCACUAUUCCUAGAUUCAUCCACGCAGCAGCAAAAUCAGGUCUGGGCAAA